ensembl:lncRNA
UUGCUCCACUCCACUGCAUUGGAUGUGGCAGGAGCCCUAGCUCAAGCUAGAAAUAAAACCCCUUCAUGCUUUUGCAUUGCUGUGGACGUCUUAUUCUCUCAGUUUUGGGGACUCGGACUCUGGGCAUAACAAGAGGAAACAAUAGUUUUCAAAGCCUGACUGUGAUCCGUGAAGGAGAGUAAGCAAAGGAAGUGAACCCUAAGAUGCCUCAUUCCCACCUGUAGAGGGUUCAGCCGCUGUGCAGUCAACAGGUAUGCAAAUGAUGAACUGUCUCAGAGUAGACUUCCCUCCUUCACCAACUCUACAAGGAACCAGAAUGUUGGUACCAGCAGCAGCCCCUUGUGCCUGUCUGCCUUCUCAGGGAGUGCAGACAAAUAUGGGUGGAUUCUCUACCAGCUGAGAGCUACCAGGAAGCUCUAAAACGGGAAAUGAGAAGUGAAGUUGCUCAGCCAUGUGCUGCUCUUUGUGAUCCCAUGAACUGUAUAUCUUACCAGGCUGCUCCAUCCAUGGAAUUUUCCAGGUAGAUACUUCACCCUCUGAGGCACCAGGGAAACCCAAAAUGGGAAAUAGAUCCUCUCAAACACAGAAACAAGGGAAAUCAGAAAGCAGCUGCUAACACUCCAGCCAUGGUUAUGUGCGUACAAAAUUAUACUUGCAAGUACCUUCUUAUUGGGGGAAAUUAUACUGAAGGGGAUCUCAACCUAAAAUAGCCAAAUCGGGGUUCUUCUGAUAUUCAAAAAUUCAUAUUUUUGUGAGCAUGUUUAUUAAUAGAAAAAGCUGGCUAUCAGAUCAAACAGGCUAAAUGGAAUGCUUACUUUGGUAUCUCAGUCUAGGAUAGCUUAGAGAAAAAAAAAAAAAAUCUCUUUAGAGUUCUUGCCCUGAGGGAAUAACUCCUACUAGAAGAACCUGACCUUACUCACUAUGCUUUGAGACCAGAUCUCUCAGGAUCACUUAUCUUAUCUAGACCAGCUAAUUCUUGAAAAUCCCAAAUUCUCCAAGCCAGGCUUUAGCAAUACAUGGACCAUGAACUUCCAGAUGUUUAAGCUGGAUUUAUGAAAGGCAGAGGAACCAGAGAUCAAAUUGCCAACAUCUGUUCGAUCACAGAAAAAGCAAGAGAGUUCCAGAAAAAUAUCUGCUUCUGCUUUAUUGACUACACUAAAGCCUUUGUGUGGAUCACAACAAAAUGGAAAAUUCUGAAAGAGAUGGGAAUACCAGACCACCUGACCUGCCUCUUGAGAAAUCUGUAUGCAGAUCAAGAAGCAAUAGUUAGAACUGGACAUGGAACAACAGACUGGUUCCAAAUAGCAAAAGGAGUACGUCAAGUCUCUAUACUGUCACCCUGCUUGUUUAACUUAUAUGCAGAGUACAUCAUGAGAAACGCUGGGCUGGAUGAAACACAAGCUGGAAUCAAGAUUAUGGGAGAAAUAUCAAUAACCUCAGAUAUGCAGAUGACACCACCCUUAUGGCAGAAAGUAAAGAAGAACUAAAGAGCCUCUUGAUGAAAGUGAAAGUGGAGAGUGAAAAAGUUGGCUUAAAACUCAACAUUCAAAAAACAAAGAUUACAGCAUCCAGUCCCAUCCCUUCACGGCAAAUAGAUGGGGAAACAAUGGAAACAAUGACAGACCUUAUUUUCUUGGGCUUCAAA